GUUUCAUGUUUUAUAUAUACAAGAAGAUGUGGUAUGAAUGUCAAUGAGACAACUCUCUUUCAAAGUCACAAUUUAAAAAAUAAAAACAUUAUAGUCAUAUACGGUCUUCAAAUACAGAGCAUGGGCUCACACCGAACUGCAAGCUAUAAAGGGCUCCAAAACACUUGGGUAUUCUCAGCCUUUCUUUUAUCCUAUGUUUGACAAUUUUAGGAUUUUUAAAUUGAUGCAUAUAUAUGUUUAGUGCCUGAAAGACACCUAACCUAUAACAUUCUUUAUAGCUAGAUGUUCGAGGAAGAAAUGAAGGUGGUUUACUUGUGUAUAAAUUUCUUUACAAUUCACGCUUAUCAUUCAUAAUUAUCACUAGUAUGUAUUAUAUAUCAAGAA
rnacentral:lncRNA from 1 species